GUAAAAGUAUCAUUUGAACUGAGCAAUAUCCAGAUCAAAUACCUGGAUGAGGAUCAUGAUGAG
rnacentral:lncRNA from 1 species